UACGUAGGGUGCGAGCGUUGUCCGGAAUUAUUGGGCGUAAAGGGCUCGUAGGCGGUUUGUCGCGUCGGGAGUGAAAUCAUCUGGCUUAACUGGGUGCUUGCUUUCGAUACGGGCAGACUAGAGGUAUGCAGGGGAGAACGGAAUUCCUGGUGUAGCGGUGAAAUGCGUAGAUAUCGAGAGGAACACCUGCGGCGAAGGCGGGUUGCUGGGCCGACACUGACGCUGAUGCGCGAAAGCCAGGGGAGCGAACGGG
rnacentral:rRNA from 1 species